CCCAACCCUGACGGAGCANGACCGCNUGCGGGAAGACGGCCUGUGGGUUGUAAACCGCUUUUGACAGGGAAGAAGUCUGACGGUACCUGUCGAAUCAGCCUCGGCUAACUCCGUGCCAGCAGCCGCGGUAAUACGGAGGAGGCAAGCGUUAUCCGGAAUUAUUGGGCGUAAAGCGUCCGCAGGUGGUUGGUCAAGUCAGCUGUUAAAGCGUGGGGCUUAACUCCAUAAGGGCAGUUGAAACUGACUAGCUAGAGUGCGAUAGGGGCAAGGGGAAUUCCCAGUGUAGCGGUGAAAUGCGUAGAUAUUGGGAAGAACACCCGGUGGCGAAAGCGCCCUUGCUGGGUCUGCACUGACACUGAGGANNAAANCUNNGGNA
rnacentral:rRNA from 1 species